rnacentral:rRNA from 1 species
CCUACGGGCGGCUGCAGUGGGGAAUAUUGGACAAUGGGCGAAAGCCUGAUCCAGCCAUGCCGCGUGUGUGAAGAAGGCCUUCGGGUUGUAAAGCACUUUCAGUGGGGAAGAAAGCCUUGGGGCUAAUACCCUCGAGGAAGGACAUCACCCACAGAAGAAGCACCGGCUAACUCCGUGCCAGCAGCCGCGGUAAUACGGAGGGUGCGAGCGUUAAUCGGAAUUACUGGGCGUAAAGCGCGCGUAGGCGGUCUGAUAAGCCGGUUGUGAAAGCCCCGGGCUCAACCUGGGAACGGCAUCCGGAACUGUCAGGCUAGAGUGCAGGAGAGGAAGGUAGAAUUCCCGGUGUAGCGGUGAAAUGCGUAGAGAUCGGGAGGAAUACCAGUGGCGAAGGCGGCCUUCUGGACUGACACUGACGCUGAGGUGCGAAAGCGUGGGUAGCAAACAGGACUAGAUACCCCGGUAGUC